GUUUUGUCUGUGGGCACACUUUUUCUAUAUAUCCCCGCGGAUGAAAUAGCAUAUCAAUAAGCGGAGGAAAAGAAACCAACAGGGAUUGCCCUAGUAACGGCGAGUGAAGCGGCAACAGCUCAAAUUUGAAAUCUGGCUCUUUCAGAGUCCGAGUUGUAAUUUGCAGAGGGCGCUUUGGCUUUGGCAGCGGUCCAAGUUCCUUGGAACAGGACGUCACAGAGGGUGAGAAUCCCGUACGUGGUCGCUAGCUAUUGCCGUGUAAAGCCCCUUCGACGAGUCGAGUUGUUUGGGAAUGCAGCUCUAAAUGGGAGGUAAAUUUCUUCUAAAGCUAAAUAUUGGCCAGAGACCGAUAGCGCACAAGUAGAGUGAUCGAAAGAUGAAAAGCACUUUGGAAAGAGAGUCAAACAGCACGUGAAAUUGUUGAAAGGGAAGCGCUUGCAGCCAGACUUGCUUGCAGUUGCUCAUCCGGGCUUUUGCCCGGUGCACUCUUCUGCAGGCAGGCCAGCAUCAGUUUGGGCGGUGGGAUAAAGGUCUCUGACACGUUCCUUCCUUCGGGUUGGCCAUAUAGGGGAGACGUCAUACCACCAGCCUGGACUGAGGUCCGCGCAUCUGCUAGGAUGCUGGCGUAAUGGCUGUAAGCGGCCCGUCUUGAAACACGGACCAAGGAGUCUAACAUCUAUGCGAGUGUUUGGGUGUCAAGCCCGAGCGCGUAAUGAAAGUGAACGGAGGUGGGAACCCGCAAGGGCGCACCAUCGACCGAUCCUGAAGUUUACGGAAGGAUUUGAGUAAGAGCAUGGCUGUUGGGACCCGAAAGAUGGUGAACUAUGCUUGAAUAGGGUGAAGCCAGAGGAAACUCUGGUGGAGGCUCGCAGCGGUUCUGACGUGCAAAUCGAUCGUCAAAUUUGGGCAUAGGGCGAAAGACUAAUCGAACAUCUGGGGUG
rnacentral:rRNA from 1 species